rnacentral:rRNA from 1 species
GUAGUAAUAGAUAUAGACUUGAAACUUAAAGAAUUUGGCGGUAUUUUAAUCUUUUCAGAGGAACCUGUUCUAUAAUCGAUAUUCCACGUUAAAUUUUACUAAAUUAUUUAUAUAUCGUUGUCGAAAGAAUAAAUUUUCUAAUAUUUUAAAGUAAAUAGAUGUCAAAUCAAGGUGUAGUUUAUAAUUUAGAAGAAAUGGGUUACAAUAAAUUUAUUUAGAAAAUUUUGGAAGGAGGAUUUGAAAGUAAAUUAA